rnacentral:rRNA from 1 species
UACGAAGGGGGCUAGCGUUGUUCGGAAUUACUGGGCGUAAAGCGCACGUAGGCGGCUAUUUAAGUCAGGUGUGAAAUCCCAGAGCUCAACUCUGGAACUGCCUUUGAUACUGGGUAUCUUGAGUAUGGAAGAGGUGAGUGGAAUUCCGAGUGUAGAGGUGAAAUUCGUAGAUAUUCGGAGGAACACCAGUGGCGAAGGCGGCUCACUGGUCCAUUACUGACGCUGAGGUGCGAAAGCGUGGGGAGCAAACAGG